UCGUCUUCUCCUCUCCUCUGUCCUGCAUACAAAAUCCGGGACUCCACUCAGGUAAAUAUCUUCUCUGUUUUUCAAGCUUUCUUUAGCCAAAUGAUGAGCAAGAGAGUUUGCCUAUCUUGAAAUGUGCCUCAAAAUAAUCUGUUGGAAGUUCUCUUUAUAUUGUUGAAAGUUUUUAGUAAUGGCUCCUAUCUCCGAUUUAUCCUCACUAUCUAGUUGGCUUUCUUUAUUGUUGUCAAUGAGUCCCCUUCGAUUAUCACACACUCUAUCCCCAUGCGAAUGCCUAGUCGCAGCGGUUGACACACGCCUGACCUUCAACAGCAAACGAAGAAGAGAUUGCUUUAUGGCCCACAGCCAUGGAAGCUAAUAUUUCCUCCAAUAGGUUCCUCACCAUCACCCCGACCCAAAUCUUGCAUGCUCACUGGUAGCAAUCCGAAAUACCCAGGUGACCCAAUCCCAGAAACUAUUAUCCAAAUUAUUCAGCAUCCAUGAGAUUAAGACUAACCCAAGUCUCCACUGAUAUAGGGUAAUCACGAAACACAUGGAUAGAAUCCUCCGUAGAACUGCAGCAUCGUGGGCACAAAGUAUUCUAUCUAACUCAUCACAUAAAGACUUAGGUAAUAGAAAACAUGCCAUUGAAUAAGUAGGGAUAGAUUGAAGAAUGACUUUGAUGAAUACCUUUUUACCCCUUGAGAUAAGACCCUAAUGCUCCAACUUUCAAUUCGCUUCUUGAAUUUAUCCUUAAAAAGUCGGAAAGAUUGCUUUUUAUUUCUCCCCACCAAAUUAGGCAAACCAAGGUAUUUUUCAGUAUUAUUCGAUACAUGCACCCCCAAAAUCCCUGAUGCAAGAUACCUAUCCUCGCUCAGAAGUAUUUAUACUGCAAACCACUAUUGAUUUAUCGAAAUUAACACAUUGGCCCUAACAACUUUCAUAUUCUCUUAAGAUAGUUUUCAAGGUAUGAGCCCCUUUAUUACUUGUUUCUCUAAAGAGGACACAGUCAUCUGCAAAAAGUAGAUGAGAAAUUUUUGGGCCGCUCUUACUAGUUUUAGCGCCUUUAAUUAGACCAUCUUGCAUCGCUACCUUCAUAAGGGCCGAAAGCCCUUCGCUGCAAAUCAGAAACAAGAAUAGGCUUAAGAGGUCCUCUUGUUUAUGUCCUCUAGUCGGCCUAAACACCUUGCCAGUAUUCCCAUUUAUUAUGACAAAAUACGAGACAAAGGAGACAUAUUUCUUCACUAAAGAAACCCAAGCCAAAUCAAAGCCCAUAUCGAUCAUCAUCUCUUUAAUAAUCUUCCAUUCAACCCUGUCGUAAGCCUUGCUUAUAUCAAGUUUCGCUGCCAUAUAACAUUUUUUCUGUACUCUCUUUUGUUGAAAGGUAUGCAUAAGUUCAUAGGCACUCAGAACAUUUUCCCGGAACAAAGGCACUUUGAGCUCCACCAAUGCAAUUAGAAAUUACUAAUUUAAAACGAUUUACUAUCAUUUUAGCUAUCACUUUAUAAAGCACAUUGCAUAAGCUGAUAGACCUAAAAUUCUUAAGAUCCGAUGGAUGUGGAACUUUUGGAAUCAAAACAAUAUUCGUGACAUUUAGAGACUCAAAAUACGUAUCUUCAUUAAGAACAUUAAAACAAAAGGUCGUAACAUUCCUUCCAACAAUGUGCCAACAUUUUUGAAAGAAUAAGGCUAGAAAGCCAUCCUCCCCCGAUGCUUUUGUAGAUCCCAUCUCCUUAAUCGCCAUCCAAACCUCUUCCUUAAUAUAUUUCGACGUGAGCUUCAAUUAUCCUCAACAUUAAUACAUUGCCUGAUCCCAGAAAGUAGAUGAUUUAGAUCCCCAACAUUCGUUUAAGGAAAACAACUUAUGAAAAAAACCCCGAGCCAGUUCCUCCUCCUCAAUUUCAUCACAAGUUCUACUUCUAUCCUCAUAUUCCAAGCAGCCAAUAUAAUUACCAUGCCUUUGUUGAGACACAUUUAUGAAAAAAAUCGGUAUUCUUAUUCCCUGAUUUUAACCAGUUCGCUCGAGCCCUCUGUUCCUAAUAGACUUCAUAUUUUUCAAUUUCAAGAUUUCGCCCAAUCUUUGUGUCGAUAAUUUUAGCAAGAUUCUCAUCAUCCAUCCCCGCUUUUGUAACACUCCUAAUCCGUAUUCGUCGCUGUAAAAGGGUUACGAGACAUUGCAGAACAUAACACGAUUCAAUACAAAUUUGGCUCAAUAACGGACGCAAGGUGAACUUUCUUCAAUCGAUUAAAAUAAAUAAAUAAAAAUUUAGAGAAAGUUUCAAACUUAACCUAAACAACAAUUUCAAUUAUAAACAAUCAUGUUAUGCUCUCAUAUUCCAUAUUCAAUUUAAUCAUGUAGCAAGCCAAAAACCAAUCAAGAAAGAAACAUAUCAAUUUAACCAAACUAACCAACAUUAAUAUCUUAGCAUUUGGAUAACUAUAAAGAAAAAAAAAUAUUAUGUCAUUCAAAACAACAAUUACAUUGAACCAAUUCAGAUAGUAAUAAAACAUAUAAUUAAGGUAUUUUAAUUUCUAAGGUCAAUUUGACAAGUCCAUCUUCAACUACUUAGAUCAGUCCGUAAUUUACAAUAGCAAAAAUCAUGAAAUUCAACUUACUAUUUAUCUUUGAUUUGUCUAAAUUUAUUGGACAGUAAAGUACGACAUUAACAUACAAUAUUUAAUCAAUAAUAGCAUGAAACGUAAUCAAUAUGUCUAGAUUUGUACAGCAUGAACACAUUAAUAAUACAACAUAGAUAAGAUACUUAAACAACAUAAAUGACAGCAUAUUAGAUUAAAUUCAGACACAAUUACUCAGCUUAGAUUUGGGUAAUUUGGACACAAUAAACUCCAACCAUCAUACACCAUUACUUGUAACAUUUAAACCUCAUAAACUCUUUAAAUUUUCACAUGUAAAUAUUUUAAAUGGCAUUUUCAAACAGCAACCUUUUUAUUUAUUUAGACAACAUUAUUUACAUUCAAUUAACUUAAUAAUGCAUCACAUAUUUGUAAUGACCCAAAAUUCACGGGCAUCGGAAAAGUAUAAUAUCGAGCUUCCGUCUUAGUAAAUUGAGUUCGAAAAUAAUUAUUAGAAGUAAUUAUGAAUUUAGUUUGGUGCUUAAAUAGUUAUUAAUUAGGUGAAUUUAGUCUAAUUAAGAUUAAUUAGUAAAAAUGAUUAAAUUAUAAUAGAAGUGAAAGUUUAAUUAUAGAUUAAAGGAAAAUAAUAGGGGUCAAAUGGGCAAUUAUGCCAAUUGCCAAAUUUGAGGCUGCAUAAGCAUAAAAAUCUAAGAUUUUUAUGCGUUAAAAUAUAUUAUUAAAUUAAUAUUAUUAUAUUGUGUAAUAAAUAAGAUUAAGACAAAUGUAUGGUUAUGAAUAUGACAUGUGUGUGGUAAAAGAUAUUUAAAUUAAUUAUUAUAUAUUAUAUUAUUAUAACAAAAAGUAAGAGAAAACAAAUGAAAUAAAAGAAUAGAAAAAUAGAAGAACAGAAAAGAAACAGAGAAAGAGACAAAAACAGGGGAAGAAAAAGGGAAAGAAAAGAAAGGGGGAAAAUUGAGAUUUUGAAGCUUGAAGUUUAAUAGGUAAGCUAAAUCAAGUCCUUUUCUCAUAAAUUUGAUGUUUUUGGAAUCCUAGAGUGAAAUACUCUUGGAUUUAAGUUGAAAAUUUGAAAGUUAAUAGGUUUUUUAGUAGGGUUUAUGUUGAAUGAAUGAUAGAAUUGAGGAUUUAUUUGAUAGAAAUUUUAUUUGGAAUUGAAUAAAGGAUUGAAUUGUAAACUAAACUAUAAAUUUUGAAUUAAUAUAUGAAUUCGAUGACCCUGGAUCAAUUAAAGCAUAAAUAGGCUCAGAGUGCAAUAAAAAUAUACCUGUCACAACAUCAUGGGCAUCACCUUCUUCUCUUGUCUAAACUACAUAGGCUCUGGCCGGUGCUCUUGCCUCUGACUGCUGCGUAACUAUGUCACUACUUCUCCGAACACCUUCACCUCUGGAUACAGAAUCACCUCUGUCUAAACCUCGAUACUGACCUCGAGCAGUAGAGGUUCAGGCAGAGGUGGUACUGUAUCUAGAGGUGGAUGUGUUCGGAGAAGUAGUGACAUAGUUACACAGCAGUCAGAGGCAAGAGCACCGGCUAGAGCCUAUGUAGUUCGGACAAGAGAAGAAGGUGAUGCCCAUGAUGUUGUGAUAGGUAUAUUUUUAUUGCACUCUGAGCCUAUUUAUGCUUUAAUUGAUCUAGGGUCAUCGCAUUCAUAUAUUAAUUCAAAACUUAUAGUUUAGGGUCUGUUUGAUUGCCAGUAAAAUAUUUUUCGUAAAAUGAUUUCUGAAAAAUGUUUUACUUUUCUGUAAAAUGAUUUACUGGAAAAUAUUUUCUGGUGUUUGAUUGAAUCUGUGUAAAAUAUUUUCUGCUGCUUGGCAGAUUUUUUGAAAAUGUUUUUCGGAAAAGUUGUUUUUACAUAUAUUAAUAUAUAUUAAUAAAUUUUUAUAUUUUAAAUUAUUUUUACAUAUAUUGCAAUGAUUUAUUUAUAAUAAUACUUAAUUAUUAAGCUACAAUAUUAAUCGUUAUAAAUUGAAAAAAACUAAUAUCAAAUAAAUUAUUUGUAAUUGUGUUAAAAAAAGUAUUGAAUAAUUAAAAAAAUAAGUUACUGGAAAAUCGAUAAACAGAAGCAGUUUUCUACCGGAAAUGAAGGAAGGAAUGAAAGAGGCGAUAGAGAGGAGAGCACAGAAAAUGUCUUACGGAAAUUGAAAGGGUAAGACAUUUUCCCUAAAAUGUAACCCAUUUUCCCUUGUUUUGGAGUUCAUUUUCCAAAUGGAAAAUGUUUUCCGCCAAUCAAACGCUGGAAAAGUUGGAAAUGAUUUUCCGGAAAAUCAAUUCCGUCAAUCAAACAGACCCU
rnacentral:lncRNA from 1 species